rnacentral:rRNA from 1 species
AGAGUUUGAUCAUGGCUCAGGACGAACGCUGGCGGCGUGCUUAACACAUGCAAGUCGAACGAGACGAUUGAAAGCUUGCUUUUGAAAGUCGAGUGGCAAACGGGUGAGUAACGCGUAGACAACCUGCCGUAAAGAUGGGGACAACAGUCCGAAAGGACUGCUAAUACCGAAUGUUGUAAAUCUUCCACAUGGAAGACUUACUAAAGGUGGCCUCUACUUGUAAGCUAUCGCUUUACGAUGGGUCUGCGUCUGAUUAGCUGGUUGGUGGGGUAACGGCCUACCAAGGCGACGAUCAGUAGCCGGUCUGAGAGGAUGAACGGCCACAUUGGAACUGAGACACGGUCCAGACUCCUACGGGAGGCAGCAGUGGGAAUCUUCCGCAAUGGGCGCAAGCCUGACGGAGCAACGCCGCGUGAGUGAAGAAGGGUUUCGACUCGUAAAGCUCUGUUGUCGGGGACGAACGUGGAGACGGCGAAUAGCCGUUUCCAAUGACGGUACCUGACGAGGAAGCCACGGCUAACUACGUGCCAGCAGCCGCGGUAAUACGUAGGUGGCGAGCGUUGUCCGGAAUUAUUGGGCGUAAAGGGAGCGCAGGCGGGAAGGUAAGUCUAUCUUAAAAGUGCGGGGCUCAACCCCGUGAGGGGAUGGAAACUAUCUUUCUUGAGUGCAGGAGAGGAAAGCGGAAUUCCUAGUGUAGCGGUGAAAUGCUUAGAUAUCACGAAGAACUCCGAUUGCGAAGGCAGCUCACUGGGGCGCAACUGACGCUGAAGCUCGAAAGCGCGGGUAUCGAACAGGAUUAGAUACCCUGGUAGUCCGCGCGGUAAACGAUGGAUGCCCGCUGUUGGGCCAACUGGUUCAGCGGCCAAGCGAAAGCAUUAAGCAUCCCACCUGGGGAGUACGCCGGCAACGGUGAAACUCAAAGGAAUUGACGGGGGCCCGCACAAGCGGAGGAACAUGUGGUUUAAUUCGAUGAUACGCGAGGUACCUUACCCGGGCUUGAAUUGCAGAGGAAGGAUUUGGAGACAAUGACGCCCUUCGGGGCCUCUGUGAAGGUGCUGCAUGGUUGUCGUCAGCUCGUGCCGUGAGGUGUCGGCUUAAGUGCCAUAACGAGCGCAACCCCUCUCCAUAGUUGCCAUCAGGUGAAGCUGGGCACUCUGUGGACACUGCCACCGUAAGGUGCGAGGAAGGUGGGGAUGACGUCAAAUCAGCACGGCCCUUACGUCCGGGGCUACACACGUGUUACAAUGGCAGGUACAGAGAGCCGGUCGUAUGCAAAUACGAUCCAAUCCUUAAAGCCUGUCUCAGUUCGGACUGGGGUCUGCAACCCGACCCCACGAAGCUGGAUUCGCUAGUAAUCGCGCAUCAGCCAUGGCGCGGUGAAUACGUUCCCGGGCCUUGUACACACCGCCCGUCAAGCCAUGAAAGCCGGGGGCGCCUGAAGUCCGUGACCGCAAGGAGCGGCCUAGGGCGAAACUGGUAAUUGGGGCUAAGUCGUAACAAGGUA